rnacentral:sRNA from 1 species
AUCACGGCUUCGUCAGCACCGCCGCAAUUUCGCCCCGGUCAGGCCAAGCGUCCGCCCUGUUGCACCGCUCGAAUAGCCUUGUUGCCUCGACGGCCCGGCUUUGCCGAUUACCGGUUUGUCAGCCCCCCAGCCCCCCGGGGAUCUGGUGGAGCCGGGCCAUCUGGUCGAGGCCAACUCAGCGGCUGGCGUUUCACGCCGGCCGUUUU